rnacentral:pre_miRNA from 1 species
CGACGACGAUGAUGAUGAUGAUGAUGAUGAUGAUGAUGAUGACGACGAUGAUGAUGAUCCACCACCAUCAUUAUCAUCAUCAUCAUCGUCGUCGUCG